rnacentral:lncRNA from 1 species
AAAACGGAUAAUUAUGUUAUUAAAUAAUAUAUUCUGUAAAAAUUUAAGCCAGUGAAAAACGAUAUUUAAAUAUUUUUAUAUUUAACACUUUUUAUAAUAUCCGGGCCAGAGACUCUUCUCUAGGCCCAAACGUAAAUUUGAAUUUAAUGGAAGAAAAUUAAUAAUGCUCGGAGUCUAGUAUGACUCAAAUUCAGUAUCUACUGUUCUGAUACCAUACUAAAUAAUACGAAACAAUUAUUAUUUUUUUUAAAAAAAAAAAGAAGAGAGAAA